UUUUAAAGGUGCUCUGCCAGAGUGCUGGACGAUAUGGAGGAAAUCAGAUAUCAUGAUAUUCUUGACCAAAUACCUCAAUGUCGAUAUUGCGGUGA